AAACUGAACUCUUUCCCCACGCAUCCCCACGGUCCCACAGAGACCCUGCGGCCGCCGCAGGGGUGCCGGUGCCCCGAGCAGCCCCGGCGCCUUCCAGUUGUGCCGCGGCAGGAACCUGCUUCCCGCCGGCACCGGCACCGGCCGCGGCCCCGGCCCCUCUGCCCAGCCCGGGUGGCCCAGGCACGGGCGCCUGGGGUGGGCGGAGGAGCCCCCGCGCGGCGGCGGGGCCGGGAGCUGCAUGCGACUUGUGCUCGGUGCUGCACCGGGGACCGGACCCACAGGAGGUGCUGUGGGGUGAGCGGGUCCCACGGAACGCGCCGCAGGGUCCGGGGGGACCCGCGAGCGGCGCUGCCAGGGCGCACGGGGCUCGUGCCCGGUACUGCAGGGCCGUGCAAGGCUUGCUGCCGGCGCCGCACAACCUGCAGACAUCGCCGCAGGGCCGAGCAAGGCUUGCGCCUGGCGCUGCAGGGCCGUGCGGGAGCUGAAGGCAGCGCUGCAGGGCCGUGCCGAGUGCGCACCCCGUGCUGCAGGGCCGUGUGGGACCCGCAAACAGCGCUGCAGGGCCACGCAAGGCUCGCACCUCGCUCUGUAGCGCGAUGCAGGACGGGCGAACAGCGCUAUGAGGCCGUGCAAGGUUUGCACCCCGUGCUGCAGGGCCGUGCGGGACCUGCAGGCAGUGCUGCAGGGCCGUGCAAGGCUCGCCAAUGGUGCUGCAGGGCUGUGCAGCACUCGCACCCAGCACUGCAAGGCCGUGUAGCGCUCCCACCCGCUGCCGCGGGCCCCGGGGGAGCAGCAGGCAGCACUGCAGGGCUGUGCCGCUCACAGCUGGCGCUGCAGGAUGUGCGCAGCACCAAGCAGCGCCUGCGAAUGGAGCUGCAGGGCACCGCCGCACCUGCCCCCAGCGCUGCAGGGCUGCGCAGGACCGCGCAGGACCCACACCCAGCACCACGCAGGGCCUGCGGCGGUGCAGCAGACCCACGCGAGACUCGCCCCAUGCUGCGGGGCCGUGUGGGACCCAGCCCUGGGGCCAAGCUGGAGCCCACGGCCACAGCUCAGACCCCAGGGCUGGAGGGGGCCACAUCCUGCCUGCCCCCAGCCCACAGCCACGGUGCCCUGCAGAGCAUCUCAGCCUGGUGCCACCCGCGCCUGCCGCCACACACCGACACAGGGGCCCAGGAGCCCCUCCUAGCACCAUGUGGAGGGAGCCGGGGGGGGGCCGGGGCGCCCCCCCACCUGCCCCCACCGCUGUCGGUCCUAGCACCUCUCCGAGCACCCCGCGGCACCCACGGGUGCCCGCUCGCCACCAGCGCGGCUCGCUGCGAAUUAGCCAGCACCCCGCACCGAGCUGCCGGCGGCCCUCCAGCGGCGGCCGGGGGGGUCCCAGGGGAUGGGCGGCCUGGCCCCCGCCCCCCACGCACGGGCCCCCCCGGCGCCUUUCACAGUUACAGGAAGAGACGGCGACGGGGCCGGAGACCUCUCCGAGCCUCCCCGCGCCUUAGCACCAGUCCCUGCGCUCCCCCGGCGGAGCCCCUCUCCCUCAGAACACCGGAUCCGGCCCCCGAGCCUGGGCUGGGCACGCACCCGCACCCCGAGCCGGACCCCGCUGCCGUGCCGCAGCACCUACAGCUGCCAGACAAGUAG
ensembl:lncRNA